CUAAUGUGUACGUGCAAUGUUAUAAUUACCUUUCCUUUUGACAAGGAUGCGUUAAGUGUGGCUGUAAUAUGGGAACUCCUUUCAGCUUUCAUUAACUCAAUAUAAAUCCAAAGCUUGCAGAUUCAGCAGAGUUGUCUAUAGUGGCUUAAUUGGAAUUGCUGGACAAGAACAUUGAUUCUGCUUCACUCAGGUAAAGAUGAAAGUAACUGCAACAAUGGAUAUUGCAUUUGAAGGUCAUUGAGUUGUAGUCAGGCAAGGGGAGCAGAUAUUAAAACAUACACGCACAAAAUAAUGGGAUUUUUAUUUAGCAUCUCGCAAGUCUUGAGUAACAUAGUAUUAAUUGACCUUGAGAUUUCAUUCUUUUGUGACUCAUUGCAUUUGCUUUUGUGUUUCAGAUUAAUAUAGAAUAUUUUAAAGAAAGAGUAAUACAGCCAAUUUUAAUCUCUGGGAAGUUUAUGCAAGACAUAAUUUAUUUGUAAACUUUAUAAUAAUAUGUGAAUUAAAGACCCUUGUUAGUUUGGUAUGAAUCUGACAUAAGGGCUAAAAUCACUUUUUCAUUAGCCUUCUCCUGAUCUCAGGUUUACACCUAAGAGAUUCUUCACUCCAAAGUCUUCAUUUCCAAGCACAACCUGCUGGGUGCUGCGCUUUUCUGAGGUCUCCUCCCCAGCUCUGCAUCUAGCAGUGCUCAUGAUGCAAUGAUUUCCUGUCUGACUAUCCCAUUCCUAUCCUUUGCAAAGUUCACAUAGACCCAUUUGAGUACACUUUUAGUAGCAUACCAAGUUUAAGUGCCAAAGUUGUGUUUUAGUUCUUUCAUCCAGAAAGAAAACAUCAGCUGUUUCAAAUUUUAGAGUCCAGCUUGGGCAACAAGAGAAUUGUCAUGUCGUCGAUUGUGUAGUAAGACACAGUGAGUGUCCAGCAAUGUAAAAUCAGUCUAUAAAUGAGAAGAUUAAGACCAAAAGCAUCGGGUUACAAACAUCUCACUAAAGCCCAUUAGCAGGCAGAGAGCUCUCCGCGGAGCUAGAAAAUGAGACUUUUCCCUCCUUUCUGCCCCAUACAUUAGUGCUGAUCUCAGGAGCUCAUUUUUGCACCCUUUGUGGCAGACAACCAUAUAAUCAAAGGGUUCCCAUCACUAAAUCAUUUGAAAAGACAAGUAGAAAUUAGCUUUAGCUAAUUUAACUAGCCUUUGCCCCUCCUCCUGACCCUGAGGGUGAAGCACAUUUUAUCAUUCAUCCUCUGGGGGCUGGCUUAUGCUGGCUCCCUUUCCUUUGGCAGUGAUUUUAAGCAACCAAGUUCUUAUUACAAUUCUCAAAUUUAAAAUUAAGUUCUGAUCACAUCUUCUCAGGGCAUACCUAAGAGGCAGUGUUUAUCCCCAGCCAAAUCAAUUGUUUCCUCAAGUGACUCAUUCCUGAAAAUGUUAUUGUUUCUAAUAACCAGCUCAAAUAUGUAUUUUCAUUAAUCUUUUCUUUUACCUCCAUUUCACACGUGUUGCUGCAUGUCAGGCAGUUUCCACAAGGAUCUGCCAUGACAUCAUUGUGUGAGGUAUGAAAAAAAAAUUUUUUUUUUUCUAAUUUAAGAAUUACUUUUACUCAGAUGGUGGCUGGGCUGGGAAAUGUUCCCCAUUGCCCUGGGAGUUUUAGGCCAAGGCUUGUGUGUGUGUGUGUGUGUGUGUGUGUGUUGGAAGGGUCUCUCAUUGCCUAUUUCUGCUUAUAUAACACACACUGGUUUAGGUAGGUGGAGUCAGAAUGGGAAGAGGAAGUUCCCUAAGUGUUUCUUGCAUGCAAAGACGCCAAGCACUGCAUCCUGUCUGCUUCUUGAACAGCCCCUUCAUUGUUUGUUCAGCUAUUCUGCUGCAUCUGCAGAUAGCCCUGCCUGAGAAACAGCCUCAAACCAGAAGGAGAGGAUGGCGGCAAGCCUUAGAGAAACAUCAAAAUUUGCUAUUAAGAAAAUAGUGAAGAAGUCUCAUCAGAGAGAAGUUAAAAGCAUACUAGUGGAUUCCUUGGGGCUGCAGAAAGAGUAGCAAAAAGUUGGAGAAAACAUCAACUACACCAAAGGAAUUUUAGGAGCUUGGUCCCCAGCAAAGCUCAUGGAAUCUCUCUCUGCAAGGAAGAGUCAGUUUUAAAAGCCCUCAGCCUGCUCUCAAUGGGUCCUGCCUCCUUCCCUGCCUGCACCCCAACACUGGGGAAAGGAGAAACCUCCGUUAGCAAGUUGGAGAAAAGGAGUUGAGGAAGGAAGAGGAUAGCCCGGCCCCCUCCCUGACUGCAGGUUUUUCUUUUUCUUUUUAACAGUGGAUUCUAGCGAGGGGAGGGCAAAUCCCUGAAACCUUGAAUGAAGUUGGAAGCCUUUACUAGUUUGUGUGUUUGGAAUUCUAAGUAGAAAUUGAGACUGUGUUUUGUGACUCAAAUGACUAAGAUUUUCUGUUACCUACGAGUGGCCAAAAUGUCAAGUAUUCAUCCGGGGGCAGGGUGAAAACUAGACCUACUGAGAAAGUUAAAAGACAAGGGGAAAACACAAUAAACCUGCUGUAUUUUUACCUCCAAAGUGUCCAUUCAAUUUACUGGCUGUAGUAGUUUGAAAGCAAGGUUCUGUGAUAUCAUUCCAGAGUUGAGAGUAACAAAAGCUGAUAAUUGUAAAUGCAGCACUAUCCAAUGGAAAUAUAAUGCAAAUUAUAUGCGUGACUUAACAUUUUUU
rnacentral:lncRNA from 10 species